UCCAGCAGAUCCUUCCCACCCUUUCUACCAGUCAGUGCUGCAUUUGCAAAUGUCCACAUAUAUUUCUGGAAAGAUCCACAUGGUCCUCACCUGCCCUCUGCAGAAGGAGAGGAAACUUGAACGCAGGACAGGCAACAUAGUUCUGCUCCAAAGCCACCAGCUCUUGCCUGUCGCCUUCACUCUUUCUAGAUCAUUCCUUGCACUCUGCUCUAUCUUUAGAGGUCACUGGUUCAAGUAAGUCAUCAUGAAACACCUGCAAAAAACUGCCCCACCUUGAGCCUCCACUGCCUGAUGACUGAACUGACCUCCAGGCUUGAUUCUGGUCUCCCCUGUGUUAUUUCUGCUGAAACAUCCAGUCCCAGGCCAGGCUGCUCAGUAUCUUCAGGGUUUCAGGACCAUGGGUAGUCCCAUCAUUACUCAUCUCUAGAAUGUCCUUGGAAAUGGAAGCUGCAGAGAAAUCACAUCUAGGGGGACAAUGUAGGAUGGAAUUUGGAAGGGGCCCACCAGUUGCACAUUCCAGGUAAGGAACCCAGGGUGAGCCAGCCAGUCAACUGAUUAGGGAGGGACUGGGAGGGAUACCAGGGGCUGUGACUUCCACUGACGUGUCUGUCCAUGACCCAACACUGCUGCUCAAUUGACACUUGAGAAAGUCUGUGCUUCCCUAAGACAGAGCAGCUGGCCUCAUAGUCUUUGAGCCCUUAGAUCAUCAUGCAUCUGUCUUGUGACACACGCACCAGCUAUUGGCUUUCAAGGACUCGGGUGGGCUGAGAAGUGGGAGAUGCCAACUCUGAUUGAAGGAUGCCUGUGGAGGAAUCAAAGGUGCCACACAGGACAAUCUUCUCUCUGUUAUCCACACAGCGAAGCUGCCCAAGCCCUACAUCACCAUCAACAACUUAAAACCCAGGGAGAAUAAGGAUGUCUUAAACUUCACCUGUGAACCUAAGAGUGAGAACUACACCUACAUUUGGUGGCUAAAUGGUCAGAGCCUCCCGGUCAGUCCCAGGGUAAAGCGACCCAUUGAAAACAGGAUCCUCAUUCUACCCAGUGUCACGAGAAAUGAAACAGGACCCUAUCAAUGUGAAAUAAGGGACCAAUAUGGUGGCAUCCGCAGUUACCCAGUCACCCUGAAUGUCCUCUGUGAGUAUCUUUUGUUCCUCUGUGGGCCAGGACACCAGCUUAAAUCAAAACGACCAGAGGCCAGGCCUCUCACUCUCUCUCUGGUCCAAGUAUAGACACCUUCACUUCUGGACAUCCGAGCUGGCCAUGACUCCCUGCCCUGGGAAAACCUGGGUAGGCACAGCCUUAACCAAGAGUAUAAGGGGAGUGGACGCUCUUGUCAUGGGAGACUUGGGGCCCACAGCUUGUGAUGGGAGAAACAGGUGAAUACCUGAGGAUUCGGCUCAGUGAACAUAGAGGGGGUUGGGCUGGGACUUGAGGGUGUGUCUUGGCUCAGAGGGUCACUGUGUCCCUUUAAGAGACCAGGAACAUCCCCUUCCCUCAGAUGACAUCACCUGUGGCUUUAUUCUCUUUGCUCCAGAUGGUCCAGACCUCCCCAGAAUUUACCCUUCAUUCACCUAUUACCGUUCAGGAGAAGUCCUCUACUUGUCCUGUUCUGCGGACUCUAACCCACCGGCACAGUAUUCUUGGACAAUUAAUGGGAAGUUUCAGCUAUCAGGACAAAAGCUCUUUAUCCCCCAAAUUACUACAAAGCAUAGCGGGCUCUAUGCUUGCUCUGUUCGUAACUCAGCCACUGGCAAGGAAAGCUCCAAAUCCAUGACAGUAAAAGUCUCUGACUGGACAUUACCCUGAAUUCUACUAGUUCCUCCAAUUCCAUUUUCUUCCAUGGAAUCGCUAAGAAAAAGACCCACUCUGUUCCAGAAGCCCUAUAAGCUGGAGGUGGACAACUCAAUGUAAAUUUCAUGGGAAAACCCUUGUACCUGAAGGGUGAGCCACUCAGAACUCACUAAAAUGUUCGACACCAUAACAACAGAUGCUCAAACUGUAAACCAGGACAACAAGUGGAUGACUUCACACUGUGGACAGUUUUUCCCAAGAUGUCAGAACAAGACUCCCCAUCAUGAUGAGGCUCUCACCCCUCUUAACUGUCCUUGCUCAUGCCUGCCUCUUUCACUUGGCAGGAUAAUGCAGUCAUUAGAAUUUCACAUGUAGUAGCUUCUGAGGGUAACAAUAGAGUGUCAGAUAUGUCAUCUCAACCCAAACUUUUACAUAACAUCUCAGGGGGAAAUGUGGCUCUCUCCACCUUGCAUACAGGACUCCCAAUAGAAAUGAACACAGAGAUAUUGCCCGUGUGUUUGCAGAUAAGAUGGUUUCUAUGAAGAGGUAGGAAAGCUGAAAUUAUAAUAGAGUCCCCUUUAAAUGCACAUUCUGUGGAUGGCUCUCGCCAUUUCCUAAGAGAUACAUUGUAAAAUGUGACAGUAAUACUGAUUCUAGCAGAAUAAAACAUGUACCACAUUUGCU
rnacentral:lncRNA from 1 species